rnacentral:rRNA from 1 species
UACGUAGGGGGGCAAGCGUUGUCCGGAUUUAUUGGGCGUAAAGAGCGUGUAGGCGGCCAGACAGGUCCGUUGUGAAAACUGGAGGCUCAACCUCCAGACGUCGAUGGAAACCGUCUGGCUAGAGUCCGGAAGAGGAGAGUGGAAUUCCUGGUGUAGCGGUGAAAUGCGCAGAUAUCAGGAAGAACACCCGUGGCGAAAGCGGCUCACUGGACCACAACUGACGCUGAUGCGCGAAAGCUAGGGGAGCAAACAGG